UUUGAUACCCAUUUAUUCCGACGCAAACUUUGCUCUGGCGGCUGCUAGGGUACUACGAUCGCUUAAAACUCAAAGGACUUGGCGGCUUGUUAACUUCCUAGGGGAAUAUGAGCCUUAAUCCGAUGAUCCCCGUAGAAUCUUACUGUGCCUUGAAAGAGUGCAGCUGGUGUAUUGCCGUUGUCAGCCUGUUGUUUGAGCAAGAGUAACGGGCUUAAUGGAGCUGUGUCCAUGAAUUCAGGUCGUAAUACCGCCUAUGGCUCAAGGGAGUAGGUAUUACAGUUUAGAUUUAAAAUUACGGAUCCUUUGAAAUUGAAGGUGAACUUAGUAGUAAGGGAAAAUUAAUAUGUUCCUCUGAAAUGACUCUGGCUUGUGUACAAACUGCCCGUCGCUCUCGGC
rnacentral:rRNA from 1 species